GAUGAACGCUAGCGGCAGGCCUAACACAUGCAAGUCGAGGGGUAGUUACUUUCGGGUAGUGAGACCGGCGCACGGGUGCGUAACGCGUAUGCAAUCUACCUUUUACAGGGGAAUAGCCCAGAGAAAUUUGGAUUAAUGCCCCAUAGUAUGUAUGAAUCGCAUGGUUUAUACAUUAAAGUUCCAACGGUAAAAGAUGAGCAUGCGUCCCAUUAGUUAGUUGGUAAGGUAACGGCUUACCAAGAAGAUGAUGGGUAGGGGUCCUGAGAGGGAGAGCCCCCACCCUGGGAAUGACGCACGGACCAAACUCCUACGGGAGGCAGCAGUUAGGAAUAUUGGACAAGGGGCGCAAGCCUGAUCCAGCCAUGCCGCGUGCAGGAAGAAGCAUCUAGGGGGUGUAAACUGCUUUUGUACGGGAAGAAACACUCCCUCGUGAGGGAGCUUGACGGUACCGUAAGAAUAAGGAUCGGCUAACUCCGUGCCAGCAGCCGCCGUAA
rnacentral:rRNA from 1 species